GGGUGUGAUCAUACCAGUGUUAAUGCACCGGAUCCCAUCAAAAAUCCACAGUUAAGCGUGCUUGGACUAGAGUAGUACUGGGAUGGGUGACCUCCUAGGAUGUCCUAGUGUUGCACCCU
rnacentral:rRNA from 1 species